GUGAGCCAGAAGAUGGAUCCAAAUGAACUAGUUAAGCUUGUUGAAAUUUUAAAUCCUAAUAAUAAGGCUGGAAGGAUCACGGUAAUUGUGAGAAUGGGAGCUGAAAAUAUGAGAGUCAAGCUUCCUCAUUUGAUCAGGGCAGUGCGGGGAGCAGGACAAAUUUUGACAUGGGUCUGUGAUCCAAUGCAUGGAAAUACCAUACAAGCACCCAGCGGACACAAAACAAGGCCAUUUGAUGCAAUCCUGGUAUAGUCUCUUCGAAACAACUUCCUGUUAUCAUUUUGAUUUAAAAUUUUUCUAGUUUCCGAUAAACUAUUGAUAUUUUCCCUCAAUCCUAAUUUUAACAUUGAACCGCUAGGAAAUUACGUCACCUAUAUGGAAAGUGAUUACUCAUACUAUCUUACAAACUUACUAAGAAGUAGGUGUAAUGGUAUUGUUAGGGUUGUAUCUACAAGAUAUCGACGUUUACAACACAAUAACUACCUAACACUCAAGUUGAGCCUGUUCGUGUAAGCAAGACACAAUGCUUAUAUGCUCGUUACAAAUGUUUAUCAUUUGUUAGAAAAUCAUAUAGAUUAUAGAAUAAAAUGUUAUAUCUUUCCAUAAAUAUGAUUUAUCAUAUGCGGACUUGUUGGGCUAGAAACACUUGAAUUAUUAUUUCAUCUAUAGAUUUCAUAUGACCAGAAUUAACUGUGCAACUGUGUAUGUGUGCUAUAAUAUAAUUUAACAUGAUGUUUAUUGUGUUGUGGCAGAGUGAGGUGCGAGCUUUCUUUGAUGUGCAUGAGCAAGAAGGCAGCUAUGCGGGAGGUAUCCAUCUGGAGAUGACAGGUCAGAAUGUGACCGAGUGCAUUGGUGGCUCACGAACUGUGACUUAUGAUGACUUGAGUGCCCGUUAUCA
rnacentral:lncRNA from 1 species